rnacentral:rRNA from 1 species
UUAAGUAAGGAAGGGCGUACGGCGAAUGCCUUGCCACUCGAAACUGAAGAAGGACGCGCCAAACUGCGAAAAGCUCCGUGAAGCUGUAAGGAAGCGAAGAAGCGGAGGUGUCCGAAUGGGGGAACCCGGCAGCAGACAUGAGCUGUCAUCUGCAGGUGAAUACAUGGCCUGCAAGAGAGGUACCCGGCGAACUGAAACAUCUAAGUAGCCGGAGGAAAAGAAAACAACAGUGAUUCCCUGAGUAGCGGCGAGCGAAAGGGGAGAAGCCCAAACCGGUCCGAGGGCCGGGGUUGAAGGACCAUGAUAUGGCAAGAACGAGGAUAGGAGAACGGGAUCGAAAGCCCGGCCGAAGAAGGUGAAAGCCCUGUAACCGAAAUCCAAGGGAAGCCUAAUGGGAUCCUGAGUACGGCGAGACACGAGAAAUCUUGUCGGAAGCAGGCGGGACCAUCCGCCAAGGCUAAAUAUAAACGAGUGAGCGAUAGUGAACCAGUACCGUGAGGGAAAGGUGAAAAGAACCGCGGGAGCGGAGUGAAAGAGAACCUGAAACCGUAUGCCUACAAGAAGUCAGAGCCCGUUAAGGGGUGAUGGCGUGCCUUUUGUAGAAUGAACCGGCGAGUUGCGACAGACUGCGAGGUUAAGGAGGAAAGACCGGAGCCGAAGCGAAAGCGAGUCUUAAUAGGGCGAAAGUAGGAUGUUGCAGACCCGAAACCGGGUGAUCUAGCCAUGAGCAGGUUGAAGUUGAGGUGAAACUCAAUGGAGGACCGAACCGACUACCGUUGAAAAGUUAGCGGAUGACUUGUGGCUAGGGGAGAAAUUCCAAUCGAACCCGGAGAUAGCUGGUUCUCCCCGAAAUAGCUUUAGGGCUAGCGUCGGAAAGAACCUUAGUGAAGGUAGAGCACUGAAUGUGUGAUGGCCCCAUCCCGGGGUACUGAAUACAAUCAAACUGCGAAUGUCAUUAAGGAUGUCCGGCAGUCAGACUGUGAGUGAUAAGGUCCAUGGUCAAGAGGGAAACAGCCCAGACCGCCAGUUAAGGUCCCAAAAUACAGGCUAAGUGGAAAAGGAUGUGGGGAUGCCCAGACAACUAGGAGGUUGGCUCAGAAGCAGCCAUCCUUUAAAGAGUGCGUAACAGCUCACUAGUCGAGUGACCCUGCGCCGAAAAUGUACCGGGGCUAAGCCUGAUACCGAAACUGCGGAUUGUAGGAAACUAUAGUGGUAGGGGAGCGUUGUAUACGAGCAGAAGCCGUACCGUGAGGAGCGGUGGAUUGUAUAGAAGUGAGAAUGCCGGUGUGAGUAGCGAGAUGUAGGUGAGAAUCCUACACACCGAAAGCCCAAGGAUUCCAGGGGAAGGUUCGUCCGCCCUGGGUAAGUCGGGACCUAACGCGAGGCCGAAAGGCGUAGUGGAUGGAAAGCAGGCGAAAGAUUCCUGCACCCGUAUAUGGAGCGAAGGAGUGACGGAGACGGAUAGUGUGACCCUCUUAAUGGAUUGAGGGCGAAGCGAAGCGGCUGGUUACCAGGCAAAUCCGGUAACCAAAAGGCUAGAGCGUGACAGGUAAGCGAAAUCUUAGGAAAGUAGCGAAGCACAUGAUGACGGCUUCCAGGAAAAGCUUCUGGCAAUGCAUAUGCGGCCCGUACCAAAACCGACACAGGUGGGCAGGGAGAGAAUCCCGAGGUGAGCGAGAGAACUGUUGCCAAGGAACUCGGCAAAAUGACUCCGUAAGUUAGCGAGAAGGAGUGCUUAAGCAAUUAAGCCGCAGUGAAGAGGCCCAAGCGACUGUUUAACUAAAACACAGCUCUCUGCGAAGUCGCAAGACGAAGUAUAGGGGGUGACACCUGCCCGGUGCUGGAAGGUUAAGAGGAUCUGUUAAGAGCGAUCUGAAGCAGUGAUCCGAAGCCCCAGUGAACGGCGGCCGUAACUAUAACGGUCCUAAGGUAGCGAAAUUCCUUGUCAGGUAAG